GGGGUGCAUUGGUUCAAACACUUGUUCUCCAGGAGUGCCACACCACUCUGUUUGUUUGUUUUGAAUUUUCAUUGCUACAUAAACCUGCACUAGUUAUGCUGCCAAAAGUGUCGUCUUAAAUGCUGGAAACUGUUGGCAACAUAACUAGUGCAGGUGUCUGUAGUAGUUACAGAGACAUGUCCUGCACUAGUUAUAGUGGAAAAUUGUUUUUUUGGAUUAC